CCCGAUGACGCAGGUCGUUGGGAUCAAAGGCCUUGCAAGGGCCACUGGAGGAGGGGGCUGCGGCCGAUUAGCUAGUUGGUGAGGUAACGGCUCACCAAGGCGAUGAUCGGUAGCCGGCCUGAGAGGGCGCACGGCCACACUGGCACUGAAACACGGGCCAGACUCCUACGGGAGGCAGCAGUGGGGAAUUUUGCACAAUGCCCGAAAGGGUGAUGCAGCAACGCCGCGUGAGGGAUGAAGGCCUUCGGGUCGUAAACCUCUUUCGAUCGGGAAAAAUGGGCUGGUGAAGAGCCAGUUCUGAUGGUACCGGAUGAAGAAGCCCCGGCUAACUACGUGCCAGCAGCCGCGGUAAUACGUAGGGGGCGAGCGUUGUUCGGAAUUACUGGGCGUAAAGGGCGUGUAGGCGGUGCGGUAAGUUGGGCGUGAAAUCCCCGAGCUUAACUCGGGUGGGCCGUUCAAGACUGCCGUGCUAGGGUGCGGGAGAGGGAAGUGGAAUUUCCGGUGUAGCGGUGAAAUGCGUAGAUAUCGGGAGGAACACCUGCGGCGAAGGCGGCUUCCUGGACCGUAACCGACGCUGAGGCGCGAAAGCUAGGGGAGCAAACAGGAUUAGAUACCCUGGUAGUCCUAGCCCUAAACGAUGAUACCUGGGGUGUGGCCCCUCACGGGGCCGUGCCGAAGCUAACGCAUUAAGUAUUCCGCCUGGGGAGUACGGUCGCAAGGCUG
rnacentral:rRNA from 1 species